rnacentral:rRNA from 1 species
CAGUAGCCGCGGGAAUACGUAGGGUGCGAGCGUCAAUCGGAAUUACUGGGCGUAAAGCGUGCGCAGGCGGUUCGUUAAGACAGAUGUGAGAUCCCCGGGCUUAACCUGGGAACUGCAUUUGUGACUGGCGAGCUAGAGUAUGGCAAAGGGGGGUAGAAUUCCACGUGUAGCAGUGAAAUGCGUAGAGAUGUGGAGGAAUACCGAUGGCGAAGGCAGCCCCCUGGGCCAAUACUGACGCUCAUUCACGAAAGCGUGGGGAGCAAACAGGAUUAGAGACCCCCGUAGUCCCUGUCCCUUAUAC